GCAGCCGGUUUGAAAUGCAAGAUGGCGGCGGCGUGGCGCUGAGAGGCGCGGCGGCCCCUGCAGGAGAAGACAGACUGCUGCUUUGGACCUGUUGGUAAUGAUGGCCUGAGCUAAACAUCUAACUAGAAGGGAUACCCUUCCAUUUCAAAGAACAGAAUGCUAAGGAAGCUGUGGCAAGUGAUUGGAGUUGUGCUUCAAAAAUUUCAGAAAUUCAGCAGUAUUUUAUCUGCCAACAAUAAGCUCUUUACUUGAUUGCACCAUGAGAAAGCUGCUAAUGAGACUUGUUGAGCACAAAAAUGGACUUGAAGAACCAAAAGCCAUUGUUUUCAAAUGAAGAACACUGAACAGUUUUAAGCCUCGAUGCUUUUUAAUCACCACUGAGCUUUUCCUCAUAACAUCAGAAUGGCAAGCAGGCGAAAAUCAACAACACCUUGCAUGGUCCUUGCCAGUGAACAAGAUCCAGACCUUGAGUUGAUAUCAGAUUUGGAUGAAGGUCCUCCUGUGCUUACACCUGUAGAAAACACCAGAGCAGAGAGUAUCUCAAGUGAUGAAGAGGUUCAUGAAUCUGUGGAUUCAGACAAUCAGCAAAAUAAAAAAGUUGAAGGUGGAUAUGAAUGUAAAUAUUGUACUUUUCAAACUCCAGAUCUAAAUAUGUUUACUUUUCAUGUGGAUUCGGAACAUCCCAAUGUAGUGCUAAAUUCAUCCUAUGUUUGUGUCGAAUGCAAUUUUCUUACCAAAAGGUAUGAUGCACUUUCUGAGCAUAAUCUGAAAUAUCACCCAGGAGAAGAGAAUUUUAAGUUGACUAUGGUGAAACGUAAUAACCAGACAAUCUUUGAACAAACAAUAAAUGAUCUGACUUUUGAUGGUAGUUUUGUUAAAGAGGAGAAUGCAGAGCAAGCAGAAUCUACAGAAGUUUCUUCUUCGGGAAUAUCUAUCAGUAAAACUCCUAUCAUGAAAAUGAUG
rnacentral:lncRNA from 1 species